rnacentral:lncRNA from 1 species
CUUGAUCAUCAAUUUAAUUAACAUAAUCCCGUCCAUCAUAUUCAUGCAACAAUUUGACAAGUUCUGGUACAUAUAUAUUCCUCAGACUAAAAAUCCAUACAUAAUAGCUUCUUAUUAAAAAAAAAAAGGGAAAAAGAAAAAGAAAAAAGCAGCUCUUUGGCAAUGGAGAUAGCAUUUUGUAGGCUUACAUCCCUUAAACCUUAUAAAUUCCAAAACAGCUCCAACUCUGGUGUAAAUGAACCAAAUCAUAUGUUUCUUCACUUUAAAGCAAGGUAAAGUUUCCCUUCAAAACUUUAUCCAGCUCAUCUAGCCUCGCAAACCAAGUCCAAGACAAUCUCAACACAUACACAAAGAAUGAAUUAAGCUUUAUGGCUUAUUCUCCUAACUGAUAUGGAUGUUAUAUUUGACAUUUACUUGCCUCACAGAAGUUUGAGAGACAAAUCAAGUGCAAUAAGAAGUGACAUCAUAUAGGGAGGAGAGGACAAAACUCUAUAGUUAAGAAAGUGAUACUAGACU